rnacentral:rRNA from 1 species
AUCAUUACUGAACUGUCGACACGAGUUGUUGCUGGUCCUCAAAUGGGGGCAUGUGCACGCUCUGUUUACACAUCCACUCACACCUGUGCACCUUCUGUAGUUCUAUGGGCUGGGGGACCCUGUCCUCCUUCUGUAGCUCUACGUCUUUACACACACACUGUAAUAAAGUCUUGUGGAAUGUAUGCCGCGUUUAACGCAAUACAAUACAACUUUCAGCAACGGAUCUCUUGGCUCUCGCAUCGAUGAAGAACGCAGCGAAAUGCGAUAAGUAAUGUGAAUUGCAGAAUUCAGUGAAUCAUCGAAUCUUUGAACGCACCUUGCGCCCCUUGGUUAUUCCGAAGGGCAUGCCUGUUUGAGUAUCAUGAACACCUCAACUCUUGUGGUUUCCCACAAUGAGCUUGGACCAUGGGGGUUUUUGUUGGCCUUCUGGUCAGCUCCUCUCAAAUGUAUCAGCUUACCGGUGUUUGGUGGCAUCAUGGGUGUGAUAACUAUCUACGCUCGUGGUCGUCUCCAAAUGACCUCCAGUGAUGGGGGUUCGCUGGAGCUUAUAAAUGUCUCUCCCUAGUGAAGACAGCCUUUGAACGUUCGAUCUCAAAUCAGGUAGGACUACCCGCUGAACUUAAGCAUAUCAAUAAGCGGAGGAAAAGAAACUAACAAGGAUUCCCCUAGUAACUGCGAGUGAAGCGGGAAGAGCUCAAAUUUAAAAUCUGGCGUGCCUCUGGUCGUCCGA